rnacentral:rRNA from 1 species
AUGUUUGUGGGUGUCAUUGAUAGGCAAAUCAGUGAGCUGAAUGGCAGAUUUGAUGAGGUAAACACGGAGCUACUUUCUUGCUUGGCAGCAUUCCGUUCACUUAAUCUAUUUGGUGCUUAUGACCAAGAGAAGUUGGUUAGGCUUGCUACAAAGUUUUAUCCUUCUGAUUUUACAAGUGAUGAACUGGCAAGACUUCCAUGGCAACUAAACAUGUAUGUUGCUAAUGUGCGUAGAGAUGAAAGGUUUCAAAACAUGAAAAAUCUGUGUCAGCUUUCAGUUAUUGGUUCUGCCAAUAUCAUAUUGUUUACAAGCUUCUUAAGUUGGUAUUGGUUCUGCCAGUAG